rnacentral:rRNA from 1 species
GAGAGUCGGUUAGUCGAUACGAGCGCACCCUAUCAUUAGUUGCCAGCACGUAAAGGUGGGGACUCUAAUGAAACUGCCCGGGUUAACCGGAAGGAAGGUGGGGUCGACGUCAAGUCCUCAUGGCCUUUAUGACCAGGGCUACACACGUGUUACAAUGGGAGUUACAGAGGGAAGCUAAGCCGCGAGGCCAUGCCAAUCCCAGAAAAACUUUCUCAGUUCGGAUCGCAGUCUGCAACUCGACUGCGUGAAGCUGGAAUCGCUAGUAAUCGCGGAUCAGCACGCCGCGGUGAAUACGUUCCCGGGCCUUGUACACACCGCCCGUCACACCAUGGGAGCCGACAAGGGCAGAAGUCGCCGAGCUAACCUUCGGGAAGCAGGCGCCCAAGCUGUUGUUGACGACUGGGGUGAAGUCGUAACAAGGUAGCCGUAGGAGAACCUGCGGCUGGAUCACCUCCUUUCU